UUGAUAAAUAGCUUGAUAAAUUUCUCCAUCUCCUCCCUUCCAUGCUGUAACACUGUUUGUGGAAGCCUUUCAACUGAAGGAGUGUGAACGAAAAAGAAAUUACCUAAAGCUUCUAAAUCAAGUCACCUCCUGCAUACAGAUUUGGAGACAAGUAAAAAGUGAACAAGCAAAUAAAAAGCAGCCGACGGUGCAGACUCAAACACAGUGGUGAACAGCAGUGCAGGUCAGAGCAUCCAUAAAGACUGCUGUCUUUGGUGUGGAAAAAAGUGCUCCUUCAGCAACCUCUGCCAUGUAAUCCUCACCAUCCUGCCUCUGAAUAAUCCUUUUGCUGGCUUUAACAGUGGCUUUUCACAGAUGCUCAUGUUUCCAGUGAGAAAAGGAAACUUGGAAGGUAAGUGGUGGCUUUUCAUGGUGAAGUCCACACAUGCCCAUUGCUUUUAAACUGCAACAAAUAGAAAUAUUAUGUCUUCCAGAAGACAAUGUCUAACCUGGUUCAACUCUGUGUUCCUUGAGCAGAGAUGGAGAAGUGCAUUAGCAGCCAUCCUUAAAAAAACGUGUGCCAGCUCUUUCACCAGCACAGGCAAACUCCGGUGCACACAGAGGUGCAGCAUCUGCAAGAAAGUGAGAUGCUGCAUUUCCCUGUCUGGGAAGAAGAUGAAGGAGAAGCUUUCUGUUAUAUGGCUCAGCACUGCUCAAACACCUGAGACUGUUCCCACUCCCAAAACUUUAAUUUGUUGAUUUUUGCUACAAACAUCAGAAUAAAGAACUGAGGUGGCUUUGGCUAAGGUCA
rnacentral:lncRNA from 1 species